rnacentral:rRNA from 1 species
CCUACGGGAGGCAGCAGUGGGGGAUAUUGCACAAUGGGGGAAACCCUGAUGCAGCGACGCCGCGUGGGUGAAGAAGUAUUUCGGUAUGUAAAGCCCUAUCAGCAGGGAAGAAAGAAGACGGUACCUGACUACGAAGCCCCGGCUAACUACGUGCCAGCAGCCGCGGUAAUACGCAGGGGGCGAGCGUUAUCCGGAUUCACUGGGUGUAAAGGGAGCGUAGACGGCCGUGCAAGCCAGGAGUGAAAGCCCGGGGCCCAACCCCGGGACUGCUCUUGGAACUGUGCGGCUGGAGUGCGGGAGGGGCAGGCGGAAUUCCUGGUGUAGCGGUGAAAUGCGUAGAUAUCAGGAGGAACACCAGCGGCGAAGGCGGCCUGCUGGACCGCGACUGACGUUGAGGCUCGAAAGCGUGGGGAGCGAACAGGAUUAGAUACCCCAGUAGUC